UUCUCCUCAUUCUCAUCUCUCUCGUCUCUCAUUCUCGUCUAUGAAACCCUAACACCGUCAACCGUCUCUCUCACCAACCACCCUGACUCAACCUUACCUCCACCAUCAGUCACCAUCUCUCACAAACCACCGUUUAUCCUAUUUUAUCAACACUAAAUCAAAGGUUGACACAGUUGCAAGGUAAUAAUAUUUUAUUCGUUUAUGCUACUAAUGGCACCAACCACUGAAUCAAUACGAUUUUGUUGCAAGGUUAAUCUUUUAUUGACUUCAUGGGUGAUUUAGUUUCUUCAAGGUUUUUGCUUGUUGAAAAGUACUUACUGGGUGUUGUUGGUUUGUGUGCUUGUGUCUCAAUCAAUGCAUUCCAAAUAGGUUUGUACUCUGAAUAAAUGUGUGUUUAGUUUCAAAUAUGUGUCUGUGUUCGACGCCAACACGACACUGACACAUAUAAUUAUCAGUGUGGAGGUGUCAAUUGUGUCAUACUUCAAGAGAAAUGAAUUUUCUCAAACUUAAUUUUGUGCUCAUUCAAUACAAAUAUCCAACCACAAUCUAAAACAAGGACAUAAGAGAAAUAAUUUUUCUAAAACAUAAGUUUGUGCUAAUUGUAAGUGUGUUAACUGAUGUAAGUGUAAGUGUAGAAAUAGAGAUGCAAAUGUUGUCUCCUUGUUUUUUUAUCCUAUGUUUUAGAAUAUAUUAAAGAAGAUAUGGGUCAGGACCAAACCUUAGUACAUUUUAAGAAAAUAUGAUAGUGGGAAAAGGUGAAUGGUGCAUGUGAAGU